rnacentral:rRNA from 1 species
CCGUAGGUGAACCUGCGGAGGGAUCAUUACUGAGUUUACGCUCUAUAACCCUUUGUGAACAUACCUAUAACUGUUGCUUCGGCGGGUAGGGUCUCCGCGACCCUCCCGGCCUCCCGCCUCCGGGCGGGUCGGCGCCCGCCGGAGGAUAACCAAACUCUGAUUUAACGACGUUUCUUCUGAGUGGUACAAGCAAAUAAUCAAAACUUUUAACAACGGAUCUCUUGGUUCUGGCAUCGAUGAAGAACGCAGCGAAAUGCGAUAAGUAAUGUGAAUUGCAGAAUUCAGUGAAUCAUCGAAUCUUUGAACGCACAUUGCGCCCGCCAGCAUUCUGGCGGGCAUGCCUGUUCGAGCGUCAUUUCAACCCUCAAGCUCUGCUUGGUGUUGGGGCCCUACAGCUGAUGUAGGCCCUCAAAGGUAGUGGCGGACCCUCCCGGAGCCUCCUUUGCGUAGUAACUUUACGUCUCGCACUGGGAUCCGGAGGGACUCUUGCCGUAAAACCCCCCAAUUUUCCAAAGGUUGACCUCGGAUCAGGUAGGAAUACCCGCUGAACUUAAGCAUAUCAAUAA